rnacentral:lncRNA from 1 species
CACAAAUAUGAAAUAUUUUGGUUUAGUUUGUCUUUGAACUGAAUAUCUUGAUAUUUUUCAUCAAUUUUGUCUGUUUUACAAAGUCAGGGAAGACGGUGCAUUUUUGCUGUGCCUGUUAUGGCUCUAAAAGGAGAAUAUUACCGGUAAGAUUCACGAUUUUUUUACUUGCUCGCUUGGCAACGUUGCCAUAUAUUUUUAACACUCGUGGAUAUCUCAAAACCCGAUGCUAUUAAUAAACUGCGAGUAUUACUAGUUACAGAAGUUUUUUCAUUUCUACAUUGACAUUGUAGUUUUGAGCAAGUUUUCCUGGACAAACUCUUUCCUGUCUUGUUUUAUUAAACUCAUUUCUUGGGUUUCAUGGUGCUUCGGUUUGUGUUUUGUUUUUAAAAUUGUUUAUUAAGUGCUAGUUUUGCCAGGUUUUUGAAAUAGCAGCUAUCUGCUGUGUAGCUUUGUAUUUUAUACAGGACAUGUAGGGUGUGAGUGCACAGCCAACCUUUCCAGCACUCUCCAAAAGUUCAGCAUCAAGUAGUUUAUAUUAUUUAACCCAUUGAGGGCCAGAACAUUUAACUAUAGACACAUGAGCAGAUAGCCUGAUUAAUCCAUUGAGGGCCAGCACUCUCCCCUUGAUGAGUAAAAUAACCUGGCGUUUGACAGAGUGAAAUAAUAAAUAGGGUGCAUCAGGACACAAUGCGACUUACUGGGUUAAACAUGAGUUUUAUGAUUUGUAGCACUACCCACAUUGUAUUAUUAACCCUUCAAGUGGCAAUGUGCCCAGAUGCACCCUACAUUAUUAUUUUACUCUGUCUAACGCUGGACAAUUUUACUCGUCACGGGGAAGGUGCUGCCACUCAACAUAUUUGUAGUUAGUUAAUAUCGAUCUUCGAUUUAGCUGGAAUGACCCAAUACAUGCCAUUUGCUACUGUAAAAUUGUGAAUAUGCCGGAUUUUUCUUAUCUAGGUGCUGAUACUGAAAUGUGAAAAAGAAAGCCACCUGAGGUCUUAAAUGUUCAAAUAGCAAGAGUGGUGUUGUAGACAUCAGACAUGUAGUGGUGCACCAUAUGUUAAAAUUAAAUAUUGUCCAACUUACAAAAGUAAGGGCCCUGGCCCUGGCAGAAUUCCUGCCCUGAACUGGAAAGAUAACUUCAUUUUAUCAUUGCUAUCAGACUGUGAUAAACAGAGAAUCAUGUUAUUGUCAGUGGUGUUUUUAAAUACAAUAUGACUGCUUACAGUUAUAAUUAUAACUUGUAUGCAUUGUAUAUAUAGUUUGUAAAACUUUUUCUUGCUGAUUUAUAAUUAUUCUUUUAAGAAGGUAUAAACAAAAUAGUGAAAACCCCUGGGGGUAAUGUAGGGUAAAGGAGGGAGGGUAUCUAUUUAUCUGUGAAUUAAUGAUAAUUUAUUUCAAGCACACAGGGCU